UGCACUAAUGCAGCAUAUGGAGGAUUUCUAUUACAUUUCCCUGCUAGAGAAUGUCCGGUUGAACUGUCAAACUGUUAACGGGUCAAAACCAGUUGAAGACCAAGAGUUAUCUAUUUAAUAAGGAUGUCCAAAUUUACCCAAAUAAGAUGCAUAAAUCUGCCUUUCUCGAUUCUUGUAUAUGGCUAUCAUAUCAUAAAUGUGCAGUUUCUUCUACCAAAUAUUCAACUUCCAGGUUUUAGCUUUCAUCUAUAAGGAAAGCAAAAUAUUAGAAAGCCUUCCUUCGGACCACUUAAAAAGUGCUCGUCGUACUUACAGAAGUUUCUCAAUUGAGUCCAAUAAGACGUCAAAUUAGAAUCAGCUUUUGAUCGCUUGAGUAGGUACAAUGUUAAGUUGGUUGAUAGAUUCCAUGUUGGGAUUUUUUGUGUUGAACCUUGUAAAUUACUUGUAUUGCUAACACCACAUUGCUCGAGUUUGUCAAAGGUCAGAUGAUUACAUUUGAUAUCAAAGUGAGACAAUGGAUAGAAGCAUGUAAAAUUUGAUACAGCUGAUAUCGCUGGAUUAUGUAAAAGGACAUUUUGAAACCAAGAGCAUGUUUGUUACGCACCA